AACUGCUUUUCGAUCUCACUCCGCGUGGAGGUCUCUUACUGGAGGCUGAAGGGGGUAAAAUCAAGAUGUUCUCCCAGCCUGGCUUCAAGACGACUUUGAAACAGAGGUUCCCAAGACACAGAUUGGGGCUUGGAUGAGGUCAGAGCCCGGGGCGGUCACUUCCUCUUCACCCCGUUUCCUGACAGAACUGAGCUUGCAAAGGCUUUGAAUCACACCGCAGAGUCAGGGGAGCCAUCGCAACCUCUGGUACCCAGCCCAAUCACCAGGACUAAUUUAACACGAUGAAGUAACAGAGAAACCAAACCGCGGGCUCCUGUUCCAAGAAUGCGGCUUGAACCACACCACACCAUCUCAGCCAUCGCUUCACAGCCUCCAGAAGUGUAUUCCAUCCUUUGGAAAUGAGCCCGUGAGAAAGCAUGUGGCCAAGCAUCCCUCAGCAAGGGGCAAAGCCGGCUUAAGCGUUUCCGCUUGCUGCUUGGAUACUUCAGAAACUACUGGCCGUGUCCGCUUCAAAAAUGCAAGAAUUGACUCUUCCUACCCCAGCUUCCCACACAGAAGAUAUAUUUAGAAAGCCAAACAUUCUACAGUGGUUGAGUGGAGUUUGUAUUUAUUCCUUGAUUCUCAGGAUUACCUAUUUGGGGGAGAAUAGAGGUUACACUCCAUUUUAAAGUCUCUCAAAAUUAACAAGCAUUGUCUGCUGUACCUAAAAGGAAAAAUCCAGUCCAGACUGGAGAAGGAGCAUCUAGGUUACAUUAAAUUAUGAUCACUCAAAUUUUAUUAUUUUAAGACUUUAAGGAUUUGAAAAAAUAUUAUAGUCACUGACACUUCUACAAUACAUACAGUACACGCCAAAGUAAGUGCUGGAAUUUAUACCCUGCAACUUACACAUUAUACAGCUUGGAGUAAAACACAUUUAUAUCCCUUCUGUUGAUCCAGGGAACAUAAAAGAGCAAAGGAACUCAAGAAUUCUCAGACUUUUUCCACAAGGUGUCAAAUGAUAUACUGAGGCAGGACUAAAAGAAGUUUCUGGAGAGGCUGCCCGGAUAACAGUAUAUUAUGAUACUCAAGGGAACCUGAAAUUGUCUAUUUGUAGAAGUGACAUCAGAGUAUGGACUUACUGGAUCCUGUCUGAGAAAAGGCAAGUUCACUAUGUACCACGGAAUCAUCUGUCACUGCCAUCCUAUCUGAUGAGAGGACUAAGGCUUUGAAGCUAUUGCUCAAUUUAGUUUGGUUUUUUUGUUUUGUUUUGUUUUUAAAGAUCAUUGUUUUCCAAGUGCCUGGGCCUAAUGAAGAGAACAUCCAAAGAAGUUCAGAGGAAUGUAUGUUUGGUUUUGUUUUACACAUACAGAAAUAAAUCACUUAAUCUUAAA